GCCUUCGUGGUAUAGUGGUCAGCACGCUCGGCACGUAUUCGAGAGGUCCGAGGUUCGAGUCCCGUCGACGGCA
rnacentral:tRNA from 1 species